UGACUUUUCUGCAUUUUCACUUGGGUUUUGGCUUAGUAAAUUUAAUGUAAUACAAGAUUUCAUUUCAAGGAUGUUUUUGAAAAGUAUAGGAUGUUUGAUUCUGACGCAAAAAAGGCUAUAAGAAUCAGUUUUAUUUGUGAUUAGAGGAGAGUGGUGCUCUGGAUGGUACCUGGAGAAAUAAUAGGACAUUGGCAGAAAUAAGUGAGUUAAUGAUUUCCUAAAUUGUUAAAAGCUAGAAAUUCAAAGAAAGGAUGUGUGUGUUUAACCAUCCAUCCUAAAACCAGUUUAUUUUCCUAGAUGCUUACACUUAAAUUUUGGUGAAACUCUGAAUUCUAAAAUUAAAAGUAAGAUUGCUUGGCAAUGUUGAAAAUGGAUACAAAACAAGAAUGUCAGGAUUCAGCGCAGAAUGACUGAUGUUUUAAAAUAAGACACUUACAACCUUUGGAGGCUCAAAAUCUAUUGGCAUUCAGAUUAGGGAGGACAGGUGAUUUAAAACAGUUGUUCCCUGCCAGUAUUAACCCCUGUCUUGGUUAUUUUGCCAUUAAGUCAGAGCUGGUCUUUUAUGCUGAUGACAAGUGAAAUGCCAAGGGUAGAGCAAACCAUAAGCUUUGAGCUAGGUUUGACAUCUUUUCCCAUUGGAGUAAUUACCAUGUUUGGAUUUUGGGGGAAGCAGUUAAUAAAUGAAUAUCUGCUUGCAGUAGCCAUCAUCGUAUUCUUGCUCUUAAACUUUGAUUGUUAAUAAAAGGUGAUGCAGUUUGCCAUCUAGUCUCAGCUGUUUGGUGAGUAAAGGAAAUUUAUUCCUUCUCUUCCUUUGUCUCCGUACUCAUUAUUUGGACAGUGGCGGCACCACUUGAAAAAUAAAAUCAGCCCUGAUAAAGUGCAAAGUGCUGUUGACAGUUUGACCAUCUAAUUUGACUAGUUCAUCAACAACUUAAAAUCCAGCCGCUGAGUCCCUUUUUUACCGCCAUGAAGGCAGUAAAGUAUUUCUGUUUUUGAGAAAUGAAGUCAGUGGAGGAGUUAGAAAGUAAAGUUAGAAUGCUAAAGUGUACACUGCUCCCCUGAAAUAAGAGCUGUGUGAUAAAAUCACAUGACUCUCCAAGAAAAAUAACUUGAAACCUUAGAAGACCAUGAACUUCUAACUCCUUUUGCUUCACACCAGAGCAUUUCUGAAGUUAUCAUCCUUAUGAUACGAUUUUAUCAUAAGCACAAUGAUUUGGAGGUAACUUUACAGCUUCUUUCCUGACUUUUUCUUAACUACUGAGGGAAGCCUCAGAGAACACAGGAUUGAAGCAUUUU